rnacentral:rRNA from 1 species
UACAGAGGUCUCAAGCGUUGUUCGGAUUCAUUGGGCGUAAAGGGUGCGUAGGUGGCGGGGCAAGUCAGGUGUGAAAUCUCGGGGCUCAACCCCGAAACUGCACUUGAUACUGCCUUGCUCGAGUACUGGAGAGGAGACUGGAAUUUACGGUGUAGCAGUGAAAUGCGUAGAUAUCAGGAGGAACACCAAUGGCGAAGGCAGCUCGCUGGGACGUGACUGACGCUGAGACGCGAAAGCGUGGGGAGCAAACAGG